rnacentral:pre_miRNA from 1 species
UAAGUACUCCCUCCGUCCCAAAAUUCUUGUCUUAGAUUUGUCUAGAUACGGAUGUAUCAAGUCACAUUUUAGUAUUAGAUACAUCCGUAUCUAGGCAAAUCUAAGACAAGAAAUUUGGGACGGAGGGAAUAGUUG